CGCCAAUUCGCCGUUUCACAACGCCUACCAUUUUACGACGAGCAACGGCGUAAUUUUAGGAUUACCGUCUAGAAUUAAGAAUUUUGUUAAUCCAAAUUAAUUUUUAACUGUGUCAUUCUGUUCGCUGUUAUCGAUCAACUCGCAUUACACGUCUCUUCCCUCUCUGGCAAAAAUUUGUUUUAUUCCGUAGUUUAAACUCACUAACUUUUACAUGGUCAGCUUCGAGCCAAAUUAUAUAUUAUUAAUAACCAGUGGAGUUAAUAAUUUCGUCGAUUUCUACGGAUUUAACGAAGAUCUUGAAGAAGACAUUAGUUCGUCCGGAGGUCGUGUGAAGGACAUCUUGAGAACAAAGAAACGGACAAACAUACUCAGCACCGCACAGUGUUUAAUGGAAGUUUAUUAGUAUUUUGAUUAUUUGUGUAGUGUUGUUUAGUUUACUUUAAGAUUAUUUUUGUAAAUUUUCAGAUUUUUGCCUUUUUCCAUAUACAAUGACCGAGGAGAGGGAAUUAAUUAAAAAGCGAGCGAGUUAUAAAGGUCGCCUAACUGUAUUUAGUAAUUACAUCAGCGAUUUAAAGGAGCCUUUAACUUCGUCCCAGGUUAGCGAAUUGAAGACCCGCAUCUGAAGUAUAAGCCAACAACUAAUGUAUGUUCUAACACUGAGGACCGCUCCGCACUUUCUCCCGCAAACCCGACACAAGGCAGUGACGAGCCCUCUGGUAAUGUCACGUUGUCUGCUCAACUUUCAACCUACUUGCCCAACAGAACGCAGCAAAAAGUCGAGUGGCGCCUAUAAAGCCCACCACGAUCCCGAGACUCGAGCUGUGCGCUGCGCUCGUCGGAGUGCGCCUAUACGAAAAGGUGUUACGUUCUCUACGAGUCCAAGUAAGAUCAGU